CUUUUUCACGUAGAUGGAAUUACGAACGAGGAAAGGAGCUGGAGCAAAAAAAAAAGAAAUCGCUUGCCGCUUUUUACGUUUGACUGCUACGAGUGCAUCGAUCGAUGCGCAUGGUGAGUCAUUUGCUGAUCUUGCGAAGGUGGACUGACUCACUGAUGAUCUCUAGCUUUUGAGGGAGCGGUGGACACACCGACACUAGGCGGACGUGCUUGAGCUCUUCUCUUUGGGGGAAGUAAUGAGAAGAGUCUCCUGCUUAAAUGAGGGGAUUUAUCAAAGGGCUGUUGCUUCUGGUACCGAUGCUGGCUCGUCAGUUAAAAACCAUGAGGAGCAAGCGACUGGAAAUCAGGACUGGAGACUGGAUGGUUUAAGCGGAAAAAUAAAAAAGAGGAGGAGGAUGAAAAAAAAAGGUGAAGGAACCACAACAACAACAACAACAGGAAAGGCUUAAGGUACUUUUUGUUUCCGCUUUGCUUUAUGUGACGUGGGGGGAGGCAUGCGUAGCUUGCACGCUAUUCAGAUGAUGGCUGCCGGGAACGAAUAUCCUCGACUCGCUCGAGCUGCGAGAAGAGGCGAGUUUUCGUUUUUCCAAGCUUUAGCUGGUGGUUUUUUGGUUUUCAUGGUUUUUGUUUCUACGCAUAAUGCGCGGAUUUCUGAAAAAACGGCCCUCGCCCUCGCUUUGGAAUGAGGCCUUUGAAUCUUCUCUGCGUCGCACGCAGCGCGCACACAGAUGGCAAAAGAGGGAAAGAUUUUUAUAUAAAGUCGACAAGCUCGCUUGCAAGCGAGAUAAAAAAAAAAGGAGAAGGAGAAGGCAGAAAAACAAAGAAAAAGAGUGAGUGAGUGAAGCACGCACUCUUGCUUAUCUCACUCUGUUGUGGCCCGUUAUAUGGCAAAGGUGUCAGGGAAAACUUAUCCAAGGAUUAAAAACCA